GCACAGCUGAAGAGUUCCACAAUAGGACGAAACGACCUUUCAGUGC
rnacentral:hammerhead_ribozyme from 1 species